rnacentral:rRNA from 1 species
ACCGUCGACAGUCAGGUAACGAGCGAGACCUGUAUCCAUAAUUGCUAAUGGGUGCUUUAGCAUGACCGAGCACUUUAUGGGGACUGCUGUGGAAACACAGAGGAAGGUGCAGGCUACGAUAGGUCUGUAUGGUCCGAAUCUGCUGGGCUACACGCGCGCAACAAUGGCGGAGACAAUGGGAUGCUACACCGAAAGGUGGCGCUAAACCUCCAAACUCCGUCCUAGUUUAGAUUGAGGGUUGUAACUCACCCUCAUGACAACGGAAUCCGUAGUAAUCGGGCUUUAUCACGGCCCGGUGAAUACGUCCCUGCUCCUUGCACGAAUUCGCCG